CGCAACGCGAAGAACCUUACCAGGGCUUGACAUCCUCUGACCGCGUAUGUAAAGACGUUUUCACCUCGGGUGACAGGGAGACAGGUGGUGCAUGGUUGUCGUCAGCUCGUGUCGUGAGAUGUUGGGUUAAGUCCCGCAACGAGCGCAACCCCUACGUUUAGUUGCUAACAGGUGAAGCUGAGCACUCUAGACGAACUGCCGUUGACAAAACGGAGGAAGGUGGGGAUGACGUCAAAUCAUCAUGCCCCUUAUGUUCUGGGCUACACACGUGCUACAAUGGCCGGUACAGACGGAGGCGAAGCCGCGAGGCGGAGCAAAUCCGAAAAAGCCGGUCUCAGUUCGGAUUGCAGGCUGCAAUUCGCCUGCAUGAAGUCGGAAUCGCUAGUAAUCGCAGGUCAGCAUACUGCGGUGAAUACGUUCCCGGGCCUU
rnacentral:rRNA from 1 species